ensembl:lncRNA
GCCGGCAGGGGGCAGCACGCGCCGGCCGCCGUCCCACGUGGCGCCCGCGCCCGAGCGAGGCCCAGGGCCUGGCGGUGGCCUGCGCGCGCUCAGGGCGUUUGGGCCGGCUGGUGAGCGGGGAGGGGUCGCGUCGACCGAGGAAUCUGAAAAAUGCAGUAGAGUGCCUCGCUUGGACCAGAUGCUGGAGCCAGCAUGGGGAUGACCUGAAGCCUGCCCUUGAGGAGGGUGUCACUUUGCAAACCAGCUUGCUGCUUUUGCUUUCGGACAAAAUCAAUGAGGCGAUUUUCAGCGAUGAUAAUCAAUCCAUAGCAGAUGCGUGGUCCUGGUGCUCAUCUCCGUCACCCAACUCCUUCUCUGACUGUCGAAUGGCUUCGCAGGUCCCAACGUAGAAACACACACAGAAAGGGACCCCCUCACCUGAGCAGUUAAGCCUCUUCCCGAAGUCCCCACAGAAGAGGGGAGCUUGGUCCAGAACGAGGGGGCCUGGUUUGGCGCUCAGCAUCUCUGCCUUCAUGUUUGGUGAGCCCGGUGCUGUCCCCAGGCUGCUGGGCUGGCCUGGCCUGUCUGCCAUGUCCGCGGGAGAGUCAGAGCUGCAAUUCGAGAAAAAGGACUGUUUCGCCUUCUGUAUUGAGGAUCCACGAAGAAGGAACUGGGAGGCGGGCUACAGCAGCAGUUAGCAGCACCCACUCUGUGUUUAAAUUCUGACCACAUGACUGACCUGGGGCUAAUCGCUUCACCUCUGCGAACUUCAUCUGUAAGAGGGACUAUGCAUCCUGAUUUCACGCGAUGUCAAAAGAGAAAAUGAAAGCGUUUACUUAGCACAGAGCCGGGAACGUGGUAGGACCCAGUGAAUCAUACUGAUAAUUACUAUUAAUGCCUAAUAAACUCAAGGCUAGAUCUGAUUUCUGACUGGAAGUUUUCACAGUAGGUCCCUUACUAUCUUAGCCCUUGAUUUAACUCAGUGUUUUGCUUUGUUUUUCUUCUG